rnacentral:lncRNA from 1 species
AUACUAACCUUCUUGAGAGAGAUUUGCUACAUUUCACACAAAGAUAUUCUAGGAGAAAAUAUGUAUUAGAAGUUCAUCUCCUAAUACAUAUUCUGAUCUAGUGCUGGCCUUCCACAAUGUGUGGGUUUUUCCCCUUUCUUUCAUAGCCAUUGAUGGAUCUGGAUCCAUCUACCUAUCCAGACCACAACCAGAGCAGGAAUCAGAGUUCACAUUGGUGCUGGUUGGGUGGCCUGCAGUUCUAAUUUCCACAGCUGAGACAAGUCCUAUUUUAUCUUUCCUGUAAAAUGCUGCUGCCCCUAGCUCACUGGUUAGUCAGGGCUGGCAAUAGAGUUGGUCCCUUAAAAAAUGUGCUGAGGAUAGGUCAAUGAUUGAUGACAAUAAUUUCAGAAUCAAAGAUUUACUUCUACCCUAACCUCAGCACCAUGAAAAAAGAGUAAGACAUUUAAAAGAUAAAUUAAAAAGUUAAAAUGAUUUUUAAAAAUCAGGUCCUCUAUUGGCCAGACUUAGAUAAAAGUGAGCUAGACAAUAAAGCGGGGGAAGGAAGGAAGCUCGUUUUUUCUUCUCUCAGCAAACCUAUUUCCUUCCCUUAGGCUAGGUCCUACCUAAUCUGGAUUGAUUCAAACUGGGACUAAAUCUGCAGGCAGGAGCCCCAAGAGAAGAUUAAAGCAUACAUAGUAACAUGCAUUGAAAUCACCAGGAUUUGAUAUUGAACUGAAGAUACUGUUUUGGUAGGUCUAGGGUGGGUCUGACUUUGUUUGUAAAGAGCUCCCAGGUGAUGGCAAUGCCAUAGACCACACUUUGAGUAGCAAUGUGUAUUUCCUUUUGUUGCUGUAAGAAAUUACCACAAAUUUAGUGGUACAACAGAACUCUAUCUCCUACAAUUAAUGCAGGUCAGAAGUCUGAAAACAGGUCUAACAGGGUUAAAAUCAAGGUGUCAGCCAGGCUCUCUUGCUUCUGCAGGCCCCAGGAGAGAGUCCCUUGCCUCUUUCAGCUUCCUUGGCUUGAGGUCCUUCCAACAAUAGUAGCUUCCAUCCUCACAUCACCUUCUCUGAAUGUGAUCCUCCUGCCUCCUGCCUCCUUUUAUAAAAGCCCUUGUGAUGACACUGGGCCCACCUGGAUAACCCAGGAUUAUCUCCCCAUCUCAAGAUCCUUAAUUUAAUCAUAUCAACAAAGUACCUUUUGCCACGUAAGGCAACAUGCACAGAUUCCAGGGAUUAGGUCAUGGACAUCCUGAGGGGUAGAGAGGUGUCAUUUUUCUGUCUACCAGGGAUUAAUGAAUGUGAAGGAAAUGUUAAAGGAUGUGGUGGUGAGGUGGUUAACAUUUAGAAUUGGUUUGGGCUCUCAAAAUGACUAGGGGCUGCAAAGAGGCAACAUUUGGAGUUCCUGAGAUUUGGGCACAAGGGUGGGCAGGCUGUGAUAGCUGUAAGGGAGUCUGAAAGCAGGUACUGGGGUUUGGCUGAAAUUAAGACAGGACUUCAGGAGACUGCAAGAGAGCUCAGGUAGGGGCUAGUACAGACCAGCUCUGGAAGUGACAGAAGCUUAACUUGCUUGCUCCACAUCUCUGAGAACAGAGAAUUGAAAAAGCUCUUGGCUUCUGUCCCUCACUAUCCCAUCUCCCAGCAGACCUGCUUCUCCAGCCCUAAUUAUGACCAGCAAAGAGGAACUAGUUGGCAAACUGCAAGUGACAGGAGCCUUGAAGAAAAGUGACCAUAUCAACUCAGAGUUCCUAAUGGCCAAGAAAAGGUUGGACACAUACCCUGAAAGUUAAAGCAGCUUUCAGAAAGUCCAGAUAAAGAUUAGCAUAGGCUGUGACAGAGAAGAUGGGCAGUUCUCAGAGCCCCAGUCUGAUCAUUUGUGGCUCUGGAGAGAGCGAUAGAGCAUAUGCAUAGAUAGGGAUUUCCCCUAGGUGGCUUGGGUUUUUGAAGGUUGGGCACAAAUGAAAACUUGUCAUAUCACCAAGCGGUGGCUGAUAUGAGGGUGAUACUGACUGGAAAAACGGAUGGGGAAGCUAAAGCCCCAAAAAGCCAGGACUGCAAAAAAAAAAAAAAAAAAAGCGAAAGCCAAGAGAAGCUUUCACAGUUUGGUUUGGAAAAGCAAGAUCAAGCAAGAGAAGAGGUCUGAGCUUGAGUCUUGUGGGGGACAUUCUCUGCUUACCCACCCCUGCCCCCAACUCUCUACCCUGCCAUGAAUCUCUAGAGAAUGAUCUCUAUGGGCUCUGUCACCACUCUUCCUCUCUGGUUUUGGCUGGUUAUGACCAAUGGGAGACACAGGCAGGAGAUAAAGGGGUAGAAGUAAAGAAAAGUUAAGGUGCUUUCUUUCCAGCUCCCUCCCUGCUGCACCAGAGUGGGCCAAGGCCACAGCCUCGGGCAGAUAGCCCUCUCCUGCAGAUCUAGCGCUCUCCUGGUACUGGCAACUGCGUCCACUGAAGAACUUCUGUGUUCCACCAGCUUGGCCUGUCCCUUCAUCCGAGUCUCUUCAGUGGUUUCUCUGAGGGUCCUCCUCCCUCUGUACCCCAGCACAGCACUUGUAACCUACCUUGCUCCCUGUCUAUGAGCACCACCCUCCUUCUUGCCCCAUUACUGCCCCUCCUCCUCCUCUGAGGUGCUCAAGCUCUCUGCAAGGCACUCCCUUCCCUCCACUGUGCGCACAGUUGGUUCUCCGGGUGCCCGUGUUCAUGCACAAUAUGUCUACAAACUGGGACUCAUUAAAAAGGAAACAAGUUAUAUUCAAAGCAUGGAAAUUUCCCCCAGUUGGAGAAUUUGGCAAAGAUUAACUUCUUUUUGGGAAAACUUGAAGCAAAGAUUCUUCUAAUUUUAUAAUUCCAUUUUGCUUUGUCAUAGUCUGUUCGGGUCUCUGGGGCACAAUUUGCUACAAUUAUCUACAAGGGGAAAUUAUCCUAACAUAGUCCUGAAAACCAGCAGUCAUGUCAACCACUGGAAUGAAGGCUCUGGUUCCACACAUAUAGCUCAUCAUUUUCUCUCCAAAACAGCUCCUCCUCCUGUAUCCAUGAUUGGCUCCAUCCACCCAGUAACCUAAAUGAGAAACCUGUGGAUCACCUAGACUCUUAAGAGUCCUCACUCUCCCUCAUCCCCCAUAGCUGAUGACUCACCAAGUCCUGUCAAGUAUAACUAUAUAAAAAUCUCUUGCAUCUCAACCUUCUUCUCCUGUCCAUUUCUCCCACCCACUUCAGGCCCCCAUCUAUCAGUUCUCUCUUAGAUUACUGGAACUGCUUCUUACCUGUUUCCUGACUCUACGUGUCCUACAUACACCCUCCAAAACCAGCCACCACAGUUAAAAUCCCUCAAACUGCUCCAAACACUCAAUACCCACCCUCUCCUCCAGAACCUAUGGUGCCUCCCCAUGAUCCAGAAAAAAAAAAAAAAAAAAAAAAAG